rnacentral:rRNA from 1 species
AGUGAACGCUGGCGGUAGGCCUAACACAUGCAAGUCGAACGGCAGCACAGUAAGAGCUUGCUCUUACGGGUGGCGAGUGGCGGACGGGUGAGGAAUACAUCGGAAUCUACUUUUUCGUGGGGGAUAACGUAGGGAAACUUACUCUACUACCGCAUACGACCUACGGGUGAAAGCAGUGGAUCUUCGGACCUUGCUCGAUUGAAUGAGCCGAUGUCGGAUUAGCUAGUUGGCGGGGUAAAGGCCCACCAAGGCGACGAUCCGUAGCUGGUCUGAGAGGAUGGUCACCCACACUGGAACGGGAACAGGGUCCAGACUCCUACGAGAGGCAGCAGUGGGAAAUAUUAGACAAUGGGCGCAAGCCUGAUCCAGCCAUACCGCGUGGGAGAAGAAGACCUUCGGGUUGUAAAGCCGUUUUGUUGGGAAAGAAAAGCAGCAGGUUAAUACCCCGCUGUUCUGACGGUACCCAAAGAAUAAGCACCGGCUAACUUCGUG